GACGAACGCUGGCGGCGUGCUUAACACAUGCAAGUCGAACGGAAAGACCCUGCUUUUGUGGGGUGCUCGAGUGGCGAACGGGUGAGUAACACGUGAGUAACCUGCCCUUGACUUUGGGAUAACUUCAGGAAACUGGGGCUAAAACCGGAUAGGAGCUCCUGCUGCAUGGUGGGGGUUGGAAAGUUUCGGCGGUUGGGGAUGGACUCGCGGCUUAUCAGCUUGUUGGUGGGGUAGUGGCUUACCAAGGCUUUGACGGGUAGCCGGCCUGAGAGGGUGACCGGCCACAUUGGGACUGAGAUACGGCCCAGACUCCUACGGGAGGCAGCAGUGGGGAAUAUUGCACAAUGGGCGGAAGCCUGAUGCAGCAACGCCGCGUGCGGGAUGACGGCCUUCGGGUUGUAAACCGCUUUCGCCUGUGACGAAGCGUGAGUGACGGUAAUGGGUAAAGAAGCACCGGCUAACUACGUG
rnacentral:rRNA from 1 species